rnacentral:precursor_RNA from 1 species
GAGGACCGUAUUCAUGGAAGAGGAUUGAACAGACUACUGAGUUCUUAAGAGAAAAAUGGCACUUAAGAAAUUGAUGGUGAUAUCAAAGGAAGGUUACUUAUUACUCUUGGACUUUGAUGAUGAGGACGAUGACAUAAAAGUUUCAGAGGAGGCUCUUGCGGAAGAGAUGAAGUAGACAGUAUGUUGGAUAAAUCUGGAGUAAAGAACCCAGCAAUUGGUAAAGAUGAGAAUGUAUCGCCUCAAGUAAAAGGAGAUGAAGACAUGGGAGAUGAAAUUGACAGUAUGUUGGCUACAUCUGGAGGUCUUUUCUCCUGAGAACACGGGACUCCAGCAUCUUCGGAUUCUGCUCUUGGAGGUGUGAGUCCCUGCCUCUCUGCACAGGGGAACUUAUGUCUCUCCACAUGUCCGCAAAUGUCUACCCAAGAUUAUACAUCUUCCAAAGGCUUUCAAAUACUUCUUUACAUAAACAAGGGGUUUGCCCCACAUCCUCUAUAUUGCAGAAAACAAGACUAGGCUCUACCUCUGCAGAUCAAGCACGACUGAAAUCCGUGCUCUCAAAAGAUGCUGGGGAGAAAGAGUGCCAUUCUUCACAAAUGCUGGGCUGUGUUCACCUGCACACAUCGCUGCAUCAUUGGACUGAAAGUGAAUGGCCCAUGUGUUGCCACUGAUGUGAGCCAUUUGCCUGUUGUGCUUCAA